rnacentral:rRNA from 1 species
AGCUGGCUGAUCCCGCGAGGUGACUUCUGCCCAGUGCUCUGGUUGUCAUCCGGAAGAGAUUCAGCCAAGCGCGGGUAAACGGCGGGAGUAACUAUGACUCUCUUGAGGUAGCCAAAUGCCUCGUCAGCCAAUUACUGACGCGCAUGAAUGGAUCAACGAGAUUCCUGCUGUCCCUGGCGGCGAUCUGGUGAACCAACAGCCAAGGGAACGGGCUUGGAUGCGCCAGCGGGGAAAGAAGACCCUGUUGAGUUUGACUCUAGUCUGGUGCCGUGCAGUGGCAUGAUGGGCGUAGCACAAGUGGCAGGCCAGCGCAGCGGUUCGUCCCGGGAGCAGAAUGUUGGAGCCAACAGGCUUUGCGGUUGAGCAGUCACACCCAGCUCGAGGCCACAGAGUUUACGGGUCCCGCAGCGCCAGUCAUCAGUGAAAUACCACUACCAUCACCGUCGCUUUGCUCAUCGAGUUGCCUUGGAUCUGCAGGCUCACUCCGUUUUGGACAUCGGCUCGUCCCUCGAGGAUGGGCCGCGGCCAUGUCCAGCUUCGUGCACAAAGUCCAGCGCCCAAGCUGUGCUGGACGACCAUUGGCGUUGCAUUCCAGAGCAGGCCUCGAGAUUGGCACCAGAUUGGGAGUUUGGCUGGGGCGGCACGCCUGUUACAGCACAACGCAGGCGUCCUGAAGCAGUGCUCAGAGGGAACAGAACUCUCUCGGGGCGAAGCAGGUCAAAUGCGCUGCUGAUGCUGCGGCUUCCAGUCCGAGCCCACAACGCGACAGCGUGGCUUAUCGAUCCUUCGGCCAAGCAUACGAGUUCGGGACACUGAAGCCGGAGGUGCCAGAAAAAUUACCACAGGGAUAACUGGCUUGUGGCAGCCAAGCGUUCACAGCGACGUUGCUUUUUGAUCCUUCGAUGUCGGCUCUUCCUAGCUUGCCGCCCGCAGCCGAGCGCAAGAGUUGGAUUGUUCACCCACUAACAGGGAACGUGAGCUGG